GACGAACGCUGGCGGCGUGCCUAACACAUGCCAGUCGAGCGGAAAGGCCCUUCGGGGUACUCGAGCGGCGAACGGGUGAGUAACACGUGAGUAACCUGCCCCAGACUUUGGGAUAACCCUCGGAAACGGGGGCUAAUACCGGAUACGACACAGCUUCGCAUGGGGUCUGUGUGGAAAGUUUUUCGGUUUGGGAUGGGCUCGCGGCCUAUCAGCUUGUUGGUGGGGUGAUGGCCUACCAAGGCGACGACGGGUAGCCGGCCUGAGAGGGCGACCGGCCACACUGGGACUGAGACACGGCCCAGACUCCUACGGGAGGCAGCAGUGGGGAAUAUUGCACAAUGGGCGGAAGCCUGAUGCAGCGACGCCGCGUGAGGGAUGGCGGCCUUCGGGUUGUAAACCUCUUUCAGCAGGGACGAAGCGUAAGUGACGGUACCUGCAGAAGAAGCGCCGGCCAACUACGUG
rnacentral:rRNA from 1 species